GGGACCGAACUGGUCAUUUUUUGAUCGACUCAUAAUCGGCAGGUCCCAGGUUCAAGUCCUGGUGGGCCCACCA
rnacentral:tRNA from 2 species